AUUGAGACUUUCGUUUUCACUUCGGAUUGUGAAAAAGAAAACACUUCGCACGCAGGAUUAUGUUGCUCUGCUUGUACAGAAAAGAGAUAUAAAAGGACUUCAUGGAAUUCACCAACAUCGAGACAUUGAAGAUCCUGAAGCAUUCAAGUACAAGAUGACAAAGCUUAGAAAGCUGAGUUGUCUUUUUCACCAUUGGCCUGCCUUGCAGAGUUACUUCAGUUCCCAUGACGAUGUUGAGAAACCAGACAGAUGAAGUGAUGUACAUCAUAUACAUGUAUUAAAGACAACAACCAUGAACAUGUAUAUGUGAAUCAGCUUCCCAAGUUUCAUUAUUCAUCCACUUAAUGAUUUUUGAAGGCUGAUGAAGUUAAGAUUGGGUACUUGAGGGACAUCAAAGAUGCUGGCCAAAUUUCUUUUCAAGGAUAUGGUGGUAUCCAACCUUGGCUUUCUAAAUCCAGCAAAUGGAGGAGAUCUACCACGAACUGCCCUUACUGUGCUAGCACAGAGAUUCACUUCCUUUGUGCCCACGGAUCAGUGGGAACAAAGGGAAAAGGAAUUCAUGGAUUACCAAACAACUCCUGCUCUGGACCUCCCAAGUUUUGUGGAAAACACAAGAAAAGAUGUCUACUGCAUGGGAUAGGAUUCUGGACAAAAAAAUAACAUCACCAAGACACCAAUGUAUCCAGUGAUGAUUGAUUGAUCUUAUGUUGUUUAACAUCCCUCUCAAGAAUGUUUCACUCAUAUGGAGACGCCACCACUUGCCGGUGGAGAACUGCAAAUUUUGUCCUAUACUCGAAAUUCAGGGCUAUUGAGCAAAGAGGGAUCUUUUUUUGUGCCAGCAUCUACUGCAACUUCGGUUAGUACGGUCUUAUCCAAAGGACCGGUCUCCACAUCCUAUAGUGGGAUUGUAACCCGUUACAUAAGGAUCAACUCCAUAAUUCGUGACUCGAGAGCAGUUUCCCGUGAUAGUCAAAGCCAUGCUUUAAUAUUGUGCCUAACUCCAGUGUUGGAUGUGAAUGAGUCUUCUCUAUGGUGAAGAAAAUACAGACAGAGCCCCCUGCUAGUUUCGACAAUAAAACAAUCAGUGCCCUUCUUACUACCAAAUUAAAAACAACAGUGUAAUCUGAACCAUGAAAGGACUUUCUCCAGUCUGGUGUACAGGAAAAAGGCUUGUGUUUCAUAUAACAAGGACUUUAGUUUUUUUUUUAAAAGUAGUGAUUAACUCUUUGGCUGUUUGUGUCUUGACUGUUGACUGAAAAUAUUCUUAAACUAAAUUUUUAACAGAUCUAGAGGGAGGGACUGGACUUCUCUUCUCCUUUUUUUCCGAGAGAGAGAGAGAGAGAGAGAGAGAGGGAGAUGUUUUUCUGUAAUAGGUAUUUCUGCGUUUAAUAUGUUAAAAUAAAGUAUCCCAAUCUGUGCCUUUUCUGCUCACAAGAAAGAGUAUUGAGUAUUGCUUUGUUUAUACAAUGAAGAUACCCGUUAUACCACCAUUGACUUGGUUACGGGCUCCGACCACCCACACAAUGUCGCUUGAAACUUAAAAGGAUGUCACAAAGGAUUUUUAUUUACAUGUUUAAGUUCUUAAUGGAAAG